rnacentral:misc_RNA from 1 species
UCCGAGUUGACCCCGGCAGUCUCCCAUGAGUCCCCACCAUCCCGAAGGACGUGCUGGCAACAUGGAACGGGGGUUGCGCUCGUUGCGGGACUUAACCCAACAUCUCACGACACGAGCUGACGACAGCCAUGCACCACCUGUGCACUGGCCCCGAAGGGCUACCGUAUUUCUACGGCAUUCCAGUGCAUGUCAAGCCCAGGUAAGGUUCUUCGCGUUGCGUCGAAUUGAACCACAUACUCCACCGCUUGUGCGGGCCCCCGCCAAUUCCUUUGAGUUUUAACCUUGCGGCCGUAGUCCCCAGGCGGAGCACUUAAUGCGUUAGCGUCGGCACCGCAGGGGUCAAUACCCGCGACACCUAGUGCUCAUCGUUUACGGCGUGGACUAC